rnacentral:rRNA from 1 species
CCUACGGGAGGCAGCAGUGGGGAAUAUUGGACAAUGGGGGCAACCCUGAUCCAGCCAUGCCGCGUGUGUGAAGAAGGCCCUCGGGUUGUAAAGCACUUUCAGUGAGGAAGAACGCCUGGUGGUUAAUACCCAUCAGGAAAGACAUCACUCACAGAAGAAGCACCGGCUAACUCCGUGCCAGCAGCCGCGGUAAUACGGAGGGUGCGAGCGUUAAUCGGAAUUACUGGGCGUAAAGCGCGCGUAGGUGGCUUGAUAAGCCGGUUGUGAAAGCCCCGGGCUCAACCUGGGAACGGCAUCCGGAACUGUCAAGCUAGAGUGCAGGAGAGGAAGGUAGAAUUCCCGGUGUAGCGGUGAAAUGCGUAGAGAUCGGGAGGAAUACCAGUGGCGAAGGCGGCCUUCUGGACUGCCACUGACACUGAGGUGCGAAAGCGUGGGUAGCAAACAGGAUUAGAUACCCGAGUAGUC